AUUAGUUCAUUUGUUUUUUUAACAUUAUCAUUGAAUUUAUUAAUGAUCAAAGAAGACAAAUGUUAUGUUAUCACGUUUUAAAAAACAAUCAUAAGGUUGUUAAUUUUUAAACAUAAAAAUAUUGAAAAAAAAUCCAAUGAACAAUCGGAAUAAAUGGGAAAAUGUAAAUAGAUUGAAUAAGGCCGAAAUAGAAAUGUAGAUCGUACGUUACAUUAUAUUGUAAUAGUGGUUAUUGGGCCUUGCUGUAUUCGGUUAAUGAGCUCGUGUUAAAGUUAUGAAUUAAUCAAAAAAAUCGUACCAACAAAAAAAAAACAUUGAACAACUCGAUGGCGACAAUAGAAAGGGGGCUAGGGUUCGUCGAAGUCCGAAUUCACUCGACCAGAUUUAAACAGGUGAUUUGCCGAUAAAUCUCACCGUUUAAAUUAACUUCCAUAAUAUUUCUAUUUUUGCAACCUAUUUGGAAUCCUAAUUCUGUUUUUGUAUUUGAAAUAUGAUUUCUUCAAUAUAAACAUAAACAAAACCGGGAUCGGAAAUACUCAAAUCAAUUGGAGCUUGCCACAUUGAACUUUUAGAGACGGUGUCUUCCAUUGUUCAGAAGGUGAAUAAUGAUGGGAGUUACAUUAACAGAACUACUUACUACAACAGACCAAUGAAGCGUACAUUAUUACAGCUUCCCAAUAACCGAGUGCAUAAUGUAAUAAUAAAAGGGGAUUGACAGCAGCAGUUAAGAGCACGAAGACCCAUAGUACCUUUAUCAAACAGUCAACUAAGAGAGUAAAAGGU